rnacentral:lncRNA from 1 species
UUGAUUUUACCUCAAUUCUAUAUCCAUUCUUGCCCAUUUCCAUCAUCCACUUUGCCACCCAAACACCACAAUUAUUUCUAAAAACACAAACAGAAAACAAAUCUUAAUUGUGAUGAAGUUAAAUAGACAUGUUGCAAGGUAUGAUCCAUCCCUUAAAAAGGUGAUAAAAUUAAGAUAUCGUCAUUCUAAUAUAUUAGAAAGAGACAUUGAAACUUACAAUCCAUUCCUCUGGACACCUAUACCAUCUGGAAUGACAGUGGUAAACAAUGAAGUCUUAGAUCUUUCCGUUGUCAUUAGUGGGGAUAAAGAUCUACA